UACGGAGGGUGCAAGCGUUAUCCGGAUUCACUGGGUUUAAAGGGUGCGUAGGAGGGCAGGUAAGUCAGUGGUGAAAUCCCCCAAGCUUAACUGGUGAACUGCCGUUGAUACUAUCUGUCUUGAAUACCGUGGAGGUGAGCGGAAUAUGUCAUGUAGCGGUGAAAUGCUUAGAUAUGACAUAGAACACCAAUUGCGAAGGCAGUUCGCUACACGAAUAUUGACUCUGAGGCACGAAAGCGUGGGGAUCAAACAGG
rnacentral:rRNA from 1 species